rnacentral:rRNA from 1 species
AAUCGAACUCGGAGAUAGCUGGUUCUCCUCGAAAUAGCUUUAGGGCUAGCGUCAUGUAAUAUAGCCAACGGGGGUAGAGCUCUGUAAACGACUGGGGCGGGCAACUGUACCCACCGUUAACAAACUACGAAUACCGUUGGUGGUACCAUGGCAGUUAGAACAUCGGGGCUAAGCUCGGUGCUCAAAAGGGAAACAGCCCAGACCAUCAUCUAAGGUCCCUAAAUUAACACUAAGUGGGAAACAAGGUGAAAUUUCUUAAACAGCGAGGAUGUUGGCUUAGAAGCAGCCAUUCAUUUAAAGAGUGCGUAACAGCUCACUCGUCAAGAGAUUUUGCGUGGAAAAUGUAACGGGGCUAAAGUGUUAUACCGAAGAUAUGGAUUUCGUUAUUCCUACGGGUUUAACGGAGUGGUAGAGGAGCGUUCCUAUCGGCAGUGAAGCUCAAUCGUAAGGUUGGGUGGAGCGUUAGGAAGUGAGAAUGCUGGAAUGAGUAACCAUAAGAAAGGUGAGAAUCCUUUCGGCCGUAAGAGCGAGGUUUCCAGGGCUACUGUAAUAAUCCCUGGGUUAGUCGGGCCUAAGCCGAGGCGUAGCAGCGUAGGCGAUGGACAUCAGGUUAAUAUUCCUGAACCGGUUAUAAUUUGUAUACUGUGUACGGUAAAUUAGUCGAAGCGGAUUAUUGGUAUAUAUCCGUCCAACUUAGCGGGAACGCAAAAGGAGUGAAAGUUAAUCUACGGAUUAACGAUUUUGAUGAAAGUACUGGCUAGAAAAGCAGAUAUACGCGUGGUUAUAGCCGCCCGUACCGCAAACCAACACAGGUGCUCGAGUCGAGUAGACUCAGGCUUACGAGAGACCCUUCGCUAAGGAACUCGGCAAAACAGCGACCGUAACUUCGGGAUAAGGUCUGCCCCCACUUCGGUGGAUAUGUUGUCGGUUUCAAAGCUAGCAGGUGUGGUUGAAGAGUAUCUUUAAUACAUCAAUUCUUCUUGAGAUAGAACCAAGCUUUGGAACUGAAGCUCAACACAUCUAACGAUGUGGGGGCCGCAGCAAAAGAGCCCACGGAACUGUUUAUCAAAAACACAGGUCUCUGCUAACACGAAAGUGGAUGUAUAGGGGCUGACUCCUGCCCAGUGCUGGAAGGUUAAGGGGAGUGCUUUACGGUGCGAACUGAAGCCCCAGUGAACGGCGGCGGUAACUAUAACCGUCCUAAGGUAGCGAAAUUCCUUGUCAGGUAAGUUCUGACCCGCACGAAUGGAGUAAUCAUGUGGGCACUGUCUCGGCGAAGGACUCGGUGAAAGUGCAUUGGCGGUAAAGAUGCCGUCUGUCCAUGCCAGGACGAGAAGACCCCAUGGAGCUUUACUACAGCUUUACAUUGACACGGGUUACAUCAUGUGUAGCAUAGGUGGGAGGCUUUGAAGCAGAUACGCCAGUAUUUGUGGAGCCACAGGUGAAAUACCACCCUUGAUGUAGUCUUUGUCUUACUAUUGCCGUUAUCCGGUAAUGGGACCGUGUAUGGUGGGUAGUUUAACUGGGGCGGUUGCCUCCUAAAGAGUAGCGGAGGCGUUCAAAGGUUGGCUAGCUUCGGAUGGAAAUCGAAGUGAUAGUGUAUGCGCAUAAGCCAGCUUGACUGUGAGGAGUACAUUCCAAUCAGAGACGAAAGUCGGAGCAAGUGACCCGCUGUACGAACAUUUGUUCAUUGAAUGUGGGAUCGACAGCGCACACGGAUAAAAGUUACCCUGGGGAUAACAGGCUUAUCGCGCCCAAUAGUUCACAUAGACGGCGCGGUUUGGCACCUCGAUGUCGGCUCAUCACAUCCUGGAGGGGGAGCACCUUCCAAGGGUUCGGCUGUUCGCCGAUUA